rnacentral:rRNA from 1 species
AUUGAACGCUGGCGGUAUGCUUAACACAUGCAAGUCGAACGGCAGCACAGUAUGUAGCAAUACAUAUGGGUGGCGAGUGGCGGACGGGUGAGUAACGCGUAGGAAUCUACCCUAAAGCGGGGGACAACCCGAGGAAACUCGGGCUAAUACCGCAUAAUCUCGAAAGAGUAAAGCUGGGGCAACCUGGCACUUUAGGAGGAGCCUGCGUCCGAUUAGCUAGUUGGUGAGGUAAAGGCUCACCAAGGCGAUGAUUGGUAGCUGGUCUGAGAGGAUGAUCAGCCACACUGGGACUGAGACACGGCCCAGACUCCUACGGGAGGCAGCAGUGGGGAAUAUUGGACAAUGGGGGCAACCCUGAUCCAGCAAUACCGCGUGUGUGAAGAAGGCCUUAGGGUUGUAAAGCACUUUAGUUGGGGAAGAAGGAUAGUUGUUUAAGAGAUGAUUAUUUUGACGGUACCCAAAGAAUAAGCACCGGCUAACUCUGUACCAGCCGCCGCGGUAA